rnacentral:rRNA from 1 species
CCUACGGGAGGCAGCAGUGGGGAAUAUUGGACAAUGGGCGCAAGCCUGAUCCAGCCAUGCCGCGUGAGUGAUGAAGGCCCUAGGGUUGUAAAGCUCUUUCGCACGCGACGAUAAUGACGGUAGCGUGAGAAGAAGCCCCGGCUAACUUCGUGCCAGCAGCCGCGGUAAUACGAAGGGGGCUAGCGUUGUUCGGAAUCACUGGGCGUAAAGGGCGCGUAGGCGGCUGUUCAAGUCGGGGGUGAAAGCCUGUGGCUCAACCACAGAAUGGCCUUCGAUACUGGACGGCUCGAGACCGGAAGAGGUUGGUGGAACUGCGAGUGUAGAGGUGAAAUGCGCAGAUAUCAGGAGGAACACCGGUGGCGAAGGCGGUGGUCUGGGCCGAUACUGACGCUGAGGAGCGAAAGCGUGGGGAGCGAACAGGAUUAGAUACCCUAGUAGUC